UACGUAGGUGGCAAGCGUUGUCCGGAAUUAUUGGGCGUAAAGCGCGCGCAGGCGGCCUCUUAAGUCUGAUGUGAAAGCCCCCGGCUCAACCGGGGAGGGCCAUUGGAAACUGGGAGGCUUGAGUAUAGGAGAGAAGAGUGGAAUUCCACGUGUAGCGGUGAAAUGCGUAGAGAUGUGGAGGAACACCAGUGGCGAAGGCGACUCUUUGGCCUAUAACUGACUCUGAGGCGCGAAAGCGUUGGGGAGCAAACAGG
rnacentral:rRNA from 1 species